GGGGUGUGGAGGAGAGCCUCAUGGGACUCAAUCCAGGUCCUGCAAGAAGAGGACCAGCAGCACUUGUCUUCAAUCCUCCCAUCUGUACCAGGGUGUGGAGUGCAGACCCAGCCCAGUUGGUGACCUGACCAAGAUCCAUUCCUGCCACAGCUACUUUCUACCUGUGAGCUCCCCAGUAAGUCACUUAAACUCCCAAAGCCUUACUUUCCUCAUCUGCUCAAUGGGGUCAUGGGGCAUGCCUCUGCCACAGGGCAUGUGAAGACUUUAGCAGUGGCCUGGUAUACCAGACAUUGCCCAUAGGAGCCAGGACCAGAGAGUAUCACUGUUGAAAGCAGCAAGAUGAACCUAGGUUAGCAGUGAGCAGAAAGGACAAUGACACUCCACCCCCCGGAAAAAGAGAUGCAGUUUGGUUUUACCCCUGACCUUGCAAACACAGACAGGGAAACUGAAGAGGCUCCAGCAGGCUGGGUGUGACUUGGGAGGUGUGCUCCCUGAGGAGCUCAUUCCUUGUGUUCAAGAGGAGGGAGAAAUGGGGGCUGUGUGGGCAGGAGACAGAAUGACUGGUAGGACUGUGAUAACAACCAACUUCAACCGUGGUGCGAAAGCUCCAGCACAUAAUAGGUACUCAGCAAGGGCUCACUGUCCUGAGUUCUGCCUCCUCCAGGAGGUGCCUUCCCUGUGCCCCACCUCUUCUCCAGUUCCUGGGAUCAGCUCAGGGCAGGUGAGAGUCCAGGUGCUGCCUGGCACAGGGUGUCAGAGGAGGGGAGAUGAUGUGUGAGUGGGAGACCUGCUCAGAGUGUCUGCCCCAGGGGCUCCCCCGGGGUGACUGACACCCCCACAGACACACAGACUGAUGGGUAGAGAUGGAGAGCCUCCACUUCUCUGGCCAGGCCUGCAGCUGGCCAGCUCCUACCCCUCCAGCCCUGUCCCGAAGGUGCCUCCGCCCCUGCUGUGUCCAGGGAUAUCUCAGAGAGGUGUGGCUGGAGUGGUCUGUUGAGGUUUGAUCAUGGAGGCCUUGAAUGCCAGGCCCAGGACAGGAUAGUAAUAACAGCUGUUGGCUGCAGCUGGAAGCACAGUCAGCCAGUAUGGAUGUGUGUGUGGGAGAUGGUGACGUGUGUUUGUGUGUGUGUGCCUGUGUGCACCCAUGGCUGGCCACGUGGGAUGUGGGGUGUGACUGUGCUAGGGUGUUACACAUGUGGAAACACAAGGGUGUGUGUGUGUGUGUGUAUGCAUGUGUGGGUGGGUGCAUGCACUCCUCUUCUGCUGCCCUGGCAUCCCAGGGAAGCACACCCACACUGCUGCACUCCCAGGUGCACAGGCAGGUGCCCACUGAAGGUCUGAGCCAUCCCAGCUCUCUACCUGCCCACCAGCUCACCCACCUCUGCCAAUAGGCCAUGCAGGCAAUGAAUACAUCAGGUAAUUAAGCAGGAGAUCAAUUCAACUUAACUUGGAGGAAAGCAGCCGUGCCUAGUGGAGAGGAGAGACAGGGCUGCAGGAGGCUGAGGCUGAGCAGGGAGUGGGUGGGGAACUGGCAGCGAAAGAUGGGAAGGGGUGGCUGCUGGAGUGGGAUGUGCCAUGCACCCUGCGGAGGGGAGCAGAAGCCAAAAGGAGAGGAAAGGAACUACGAGGACCAAGGCCACUGACCAAGGGGGCAAGGAGGGGACUGGCUGGUGGCAGAGAGAAUGGGAAAGAUGUAAGGAAGAACCAAGGCCAGCAACAGGACAAGCUUGUAUCUCCUCAGCUUCCCAGGGGUUCUCUCCUGGUGGGGCAGGGGCCAGCGGUCAGGAUGGGUCUAUCACCCAGCUUCCCAGAUGGCUCACAGCCUCUUCUGUGGUCCUGCUAGCCCCGAGCAUGUGCACAGAACUUGACCCUGUGGGCUCUGCUGGGGGUGCCGAGGAGGAUCUUUGACCAUGCCCCAUUGUUCACCAGCAGAACUGGCCCCAGAUGUGAAGGCCCCGUUACUGGAAGGUCAUCCAUUCAUUCAAUGAACACGCACCGAGAGCUGCUGAGCACCAGCUCAGGGUCUGACAUGGGCAGACUCCAGGAGGAAUCACACGCUGGCCGCCCUCGAGGGGGCACAGCCUCCCUGGGGAGAACAUGCAGACACAGACAGAUAUCCUACAGCAGAGGAGGGGACAGUGGGGGACCACAGAAGGCUUCUCUGUGACCCCUGAGCUAUGGCUUAAAGAAUAAGGGCAGCUAACCUGGGAAGCAGGAGAGCUCAGAGCAGAAGGCCAGGGAGAAAAGGUACUCAGGCCCUGGGGAGGGCAACAACAUAGGCAGAGAACCUACGAGAAUAUCCCCCGGAGAUGGCACCUUGUCUGUGGGGACAAGAGAGGCCAGUGUCCAUAGGUCCAUCAGGGCCUUGGGAGCAGGGGUGGGCUGGGCAGGGGCUAGCAUAAGGCAGCUUCAGCACUGAGGAGGUAGAGAACAGAGCGGACACCACAGGAGUUUAGGCAAGAGGGAUACAUGGACAGGCAGAGCUGGAGACCACACCAGGAAUGGGGGUGGUUUGGGCCAGGGGCAGAUGACACAGAGAUAUGGGAGAUGGAGGGUUGGUACAGUGAAGACAGCAUGAGGGCAGAGCACAGGGCGCCUUGGCAUGAUUGUGGAUGUGUGAUCUCAGCUAAGCCCCUGCCUCAGUUUCCCCAUCUGUACCAUGAAGGGCUCCCCCUCACUCAUGGACACUGGGAAUCCUGUGGUAAACAGGACAGCCCGGUUCCUGCCUCUGGGCUCACAGCCUAGAGGGAGGUGAGACAGGAAGAGAAUUAACUCCCUUAAGGAGUUAACCAAAGAAGGGGAGUUGAGGCACUAUGGAGGCUCGGCAGAAGCCGGGCCAUGCUCGGGUGCUCACUCUCAGUUGUCUUUGGGGAACCCCUGACCCCAUCAUCAUGCAUUGGGAACAGACACAUGCCUCCCUCUUGACGUAGGCCUGGCCAAUCAGCUUCCUUCAUCUCCAGGCCCAUGGUGAUUUUCCAGGACAGGCGUGUGGAUGUGGCUGACUCAAAGCUGGGGCUCCAGCUGAGGGGUCAGGGAAUGAGGUGCCUUGAGGAGCAGAAUGGGGGAGGCCUGGCUGGGCAUGGAGUUCACAUUCAGGCAAGAGGCCAAGUGACAGUAAUAACGUUUGAGCACCUGUAUCCAGCCAUACCUCAAGUUCACAGACCUGGAUUUUUAAACUACUUGUGCCAAUAAAUUCAAUUUUGCGACUGAA